rnacentral:rRNA from 1 species
GGGGAUCGUAAGACCUUGUGCUUUUGGAGCGGCCGAUGUCUGAUUAGCUAGUUGGUGAGGUAAUGGCUCACCAAGGCGACGAUCAGUAGUUGGUCUGAGAGGACGACCAGCCACAUUGGGACUGAGACACGGCCCAGACUCCUACGGGAGGCAGCAGUGGGGAAUUUUGGACAAUGGGCGAAAGCCUGAUCCAGCCAUGCCGCGUGAGUGAAGAAGGCCUUCGGGUUGUAAAGCUCUUUCAGUCGAGAAAAAAAGGUUGCGACUAAUAAUCGUAACUAAUGACGGUAUCGACAGAAGAAGCACCGGCUAACUACGUGCCAGCAGCCGCGGUAAUACGUAGGGUGCGAGCGUUAAUCGGAAUUACUGGGCGUAAAGGGUGCGCAGGCGGUUUUGUAAGUCAGAUGUGAAAUCCCCGGGCUUAACCUGGGAACUGCGUUUGAA